GACGAACGCUGGCGGCGUGCUUAACACAUGCAAGUCGAACGGAAAGGCCCUGCUUUUGUGGGGUGCUCGAGUGGCGAACGGGUGAGUAACACGUGAGUAACCUGCCCUUGACUUUGGGAUAACUUCAGGAAACUGGGGCUAAUACCGGAUAGGAGCGCCUGCUGCAUGGUGGGGGUUGGAAAGGUUCGGCGGUUGGGGAUGGACUCGCGGCUUAUCAGCUUGUUGGUGGGGUAGUGGCUUACCAAGGCUUUGACGGGUAGCCGGCCUGAGAGGGUGACCGGCCACAUUGGGACUGAGAUACGGCCCAGACUCCUACGGGAGGCAGCAGUGGGGAAUAUUGCACAAUGGGCGGAAGCCUGAUGCAGCAACGCCGCGUGCGGGAUGACGGCCUUCGGGUUGUAAACCGCUUUCGCCUGUGACGAAGCGUGAGUGACGGUAAUGGGUAAAGAAGCACCGGCUAACUACGUG
rnacentral:rRNA from 1 species